rnacentral:lncRNA from 1 species
GGGGAAGCAAAAGGCGCUCGCAACGAACGCGUGCGGACUGAUGGUGAUGGAGUGAUGGUGAUGGGUGAGAAGAAAUAGGGAAAAGGAAACCGCGCUGUUAGAACGCGCCGAGUGGUACUGCUGCUCCGGUCAGGCCUCGGGCACGCAAAUAUCUGGCUGCUCGCUGAAACCGUCCGCUCAAAAAUAAAACAUCUUUUGUCCCUUGCUGGCAGGUACGGAAGGCAGCAGCGAGGAUCUGUGCUGCCGGCGUCCCCAAGCACAGAUGUCUGGCACAGCAUCCUCGUGGCACAGCGUGGAGGCAUCCCCGGAGAGGCGCACGGGGUGGCCCAUGCGUGUGGAGUUGUAAACCAGCACAAACGGUUGUCACAGCCCUCAGCAACGGCAUGGCACGUUCACAGGGCGAGCCCAUCGCUUCCACUGCAUCGAAACCACAGCUGUGCCACGACCACAUCGCAUCUGCAUUAAGAUAUUAGAGCAUUCCAACCACGUGAAGAUCUGGGCUCAGGCAGAUCUCCAGAGACACCCACCUCACCUCGGG